GCCCGGCUGGGGUGCAGGGGCUGGUGGGGGUUGGCCCUGCCCGGGAAGGGGCUCUGUGGCCUGAUGCAGCAUGAAUAGUAUGUGCUCUUCCUGCCCACUCUCUGAGCCAAAGCCCUCCAGCUCAGCCCCGAGGGGCCGCCUGCACAGCCUGACGAUCGCUGGAGAUUCGGUCAGCACUGGCCAGGCCCCUGGCUAGCCCCGCGGUCCAAGAGGAGGCUGAGUAGACUCAGAGCUCGGCGACUUAGAAACACUGCAGGGAAGCUGGCCUGGAAGAGCCUCUCCUCGUCUAGGAUAAAUGACCCUGGAGGAUGAGCGCGGUGGAGUCUGCUGAUGGCUUCCUUCCUGCCUUCCUUCCUUCCGGCCUGUGCCAGGCCUCAGGGCUCCGUGAACGGUCACUGCCCGCACAGCACUCAGCACUGAAGGUGCAGGUCCAGCUACUGGGAAGUCCGGUCAGGAGAACGCAGAGCGGGCUGAUGAAAAAGAUCUGAAUACCAUAGGGACCCCCUGAAGGGAGAGCUGCGGCCUUGCUGCAGGGCACGGAAGCACAGCUUGAAAUGUGUCUGUACCAUCCUCUUAAAAACAAGCUGAGAGAAGAGGAGACCGUGGGAACCAACGCCAUGAGCGCAGAGUAAAACCUCCGUGGGGAAGAGAGAAUGGCAACUUGACACGCAGACUGUCCUCCUGCUGUGUGGGAGAAGAGCUUGACAACCCCUCGCCCAGAGAGGAUGGGGGAAGUGACGCUGGGGGGAGAUGUCAGAGAUGAGCAAAGUUCAUACAGACCAAGACUGUGAGCAGUCCGUCUCCCCAGAGGAGAGGCUCAGACCAAAGGAACAGAGCAAUCAAUUCAAGGGAAAAUGAAUAAAAUGAUGCAUAAAGUGAAUCUCCCCCAAUGUCAAAAACAAAUCUGACUCUGGAGGGUUAGAAACUAGAAUGACUGUUAUGUGUGAACAAAGGAAGACAGAAUUGGAAGGAUCCGGGGUGCAUUCCCGCUGGUGACCCCCUCCUCCCCGAAGCCUUCCAGCAAGCCAAUGACACGGCUGUGUGACAAAGCCCCAAGCAAACCCUCUGUCCCCCAGAACUUAACCCAUCUCCUUAGACAGCAGGGGUACCGUGUCUUCCUAACUCCCAGGUUUUAUCAGACUCCUCAGUAUUGAUCGUGAUACCACGGGCUCCUGGGUUCCUCUGCGUCCUCCACACACCAAGGCCAAGACGCCAUGCAGUGUAGAGAAAUUCACCUGCAGGGACCCUGGUAAGGGGUGGAGGCUGGUGGUGUGGGGAGGGGACCAGCAGCAUCCUCCUCUCGUGCAGUGCUCAGGGGGCAGUGGAGACCCCUUCCUGGAGUGAGCCUGCCUCCGACCCUAGCUGCCCUUCCCGGUUGGUGGGAGCAGCCGCGAGCACUGACCUGCCUAACUCGGCGAGCUGUUUCAGAGCGCAGGGCUCGCGGGGUGGAGACGCCGCCCCGAGUUGGAGGCUGCUGUCACAUUCCCAUGACCGCCACAGAAGAACAGACACUGCAGUCGGCCCCUGGGCAGCUGGGCACCAAGCGUGCCGGGACACACGUGCAAUGUGAAAGUGAGCGCUUCCCUUUGCAGAGCUGAGAACCUGCGCGGGGAAGACGAACGGGUGCGUGCAAUUGCUGCAGAACCUGCGAGAGUGGAGCGUGUCCGCCCUGCAGGCACCCAGAGCAGGAACAGUAAACCCCGCCUGGAGCACAGCGGUGGACAGCACAGAAGCGGGGCUGAGGGGUGCAGUGGGCCCUCCAGCGGAGACCUCACGGGGACAUUCUCAGGGGAGGGAGGAACCUUUGUGUGAUGGGCGCCUGCAACCCGUCUCCCCGGGGACAGGCUGCACCCCAGUUCCAGGGAUGCUCACUGGGCACCUGAGGGGUGACAGGGAGGCCCCAGGAGCUCUCACUGCCAGCCUGGGUUUGCCACACUCUCAAGUCUCUCUUUCUUGGAAGGCCCCAGACAGCAUUCCAGAGGGAGGCUGAUGUGAGCUGUGCCGGCAGCUAAGCCGAGAGGGACGUGGAACAGCAGAAGGAAGACUGUUUUUACAACACAGGAAGAAGGCGGAAGACACGAGGGAGGCUGGUGUUCGCAAGGGACUCGCCGGCCCACCCACCAGGCCAGAGUAGAGGCUGCCGCUGGCCAGCGACGGGCGCAUCUGCAGGGAGGGUCAGAGUCACGUGGCAAAGCGUGUCGAUGUGCCGAAGAAAUGGCGGAUCAUUCACAGGCAGCAGAGCCCUGCCGUGCUGAUGAACAGAGAUGUUCAUCAGAUGGUGAUGAACAGAGAAGGGAGAAAAUCGUUGGAACCUCUACUAAGGAAAAGGCACCAACACGCAGCAGUGCAUCGAGGUAAUAUGUAUUACACUGACCGUAAGUAAUACUGUCAGGCCUUUUUCGUGCUCUAUGCCGCCUCUACCCUAAGACAGCAGACGGUUAGGUCUGUUUCCCAUGUGUGUAUAAGUGCGUGGCUAUAGUCACACUGUGCGAAUGACUCUGGGUUCUUCUGUACCACCCCAAACAGUGUUACUAGUGAAGCUGCCGCUCUGGGUUUGAUUUCAGGGUUCUGUGUGCGUGGAUGCUCCCGCAGUGCGGGAAGCUGGCCCUUCAGAGCCUUUGGAAGUGGCCACGACCACGCUUGACCCCAAGGCUUGCUGUGGCCCCGACAGGAAACCCUGGUCUGGAGAAACUUCCCUUUCAGGCAGGCAGAUUUUCAAGUGAGCCAGUUCAAAAUCAGUGUGUU